UGAACAUGGCUCUAUUGGUAGAGCAUGAGACUCUUAAUCUCAGCAUUGUGGGUUCGAGCCCCACAUUGGGCAAAA